rnacentral:rRNA from 1 species
AACGCUGGCGGCGUGCCUAACACAUGCAAGUCGAACGCGAAAGCCCCGCAAGGGGCAAGUAGAGUGGCGAACGGGUGAGUAACGCGUGGGUGACCUGCCUUCGAGUGGGGGAUAACGUUCCGAAAGGGACGCUAAUACCGCAUAACAUCCCGCCUUUGGACAGGCGACGAUCAAAGCCGGGGACCGCAAGGCCUGGCGCUUGAAGAGGGGCCCGCGUCCGAUUAGCUAGUUGGUGGGGUAACGGCUCACCAAGGCGACGAUCGGUAGCCGGCCUAAGAGGGCGGACGGCCACACUGGGACUGAGACACGGCCCAGACUCCUACGGGAGGCAGCAGUGGGGAAUUGUUCGCAAUGGGCGCAAGCCUGACGACGCAACGCCGCGUGGAGGACGAAGAUCUUCGGGUCGUAAACUCCUGUCGAGCGGGACGAAUGUCCUGCGGGUGAAUAAUCCGCGGGAAUGACGGUACCGCGAGAGGAAGCCCCGGCUAACUCCGUGCCAGCAGCCGCGGUAAUACGGGGGGGGCAAGCGUUGUUCGGAAUUACUGGGCGUAAAGGGCUCGUAGGCGGCCGACUCAGUCAGACGUGAAAUCCCUCGGCUUAACCGGGGAAUGGCGUCUGAUACUGGUUGGCUGGGAAUCCGGGAGAGGGAUGUGGAAUUCCAGGUGUAGCGGUGAAAUGCGUAGAUAUCUGGAGGAACACCGGUGGCGAAGGCGGCAUCCUGGACCGGCAUUGACGCUGAGGAGCGAAAGCCAGGGGAGCAAACG